UACCGAGGGUGCGAGCGUUAAUCGGAAUUACUGGGCGUAAAGCGUGCGUAGACGGUCGUGUAAGUCGGAUGUGAAAUCCCCGGGCUCAACCUGGGAAUUGCAUUCGAGACUGCACGGCUGGGGUGCGGAAGAGGGAAGCGGAAUUUCCGGUGUAGCGGUGAAAUGCGUAGAUAUCGGAAGGAACAUCAGUGGCGAAAGCGGCUUCCUGGUCCAGCACCGACGUUCAGGCACGAAAGCGUGGGGAGCAAACAGG
rnacentral:rRNA from 1 species